GCUAAUUAAAAAUCUGAUCGAAAACGACAGCGUUCCAAGUACGCAAGUCAAGGGUAUAUCGUACCGGCAAGUCUCCGGUAACGGUUAUCGGAAAAUUGAAAAAUGCCGCCGGCGAAGAAAGGGAAAACAAAGGCUGGAUCAAAGGAAACGACUCCAUCGGAAAAACCUAAUAAUUUUCCGUCUUGUAUCCGGUGCAUGCCUCCUUCAUCCAUCGCUAUAACCAUCCACGCUAAACCCGGUUCCAAGUCCGCAUCCAUAACAGAUGUGAGCGAUGAAGCUGUUGGUGUGCAAAUUGAUGCACCGGCGAGGGAUGGUGAAGCAAAUGCUGCUCUUCUUGAUUACAUCAGCUCUGUUUUAGGUGUAAAACGAAGACAAGUAUCUUUAGGUACUGGUUCUAAGUCAAGAGAUAAAACCGUGAUUGUGGAAGAUGUAACUCAGCAAUAUGUUUUUGAUGCUUUGGGUAAAGUCUCAAAACAGUAGUUAUGAGAGGAGAGAAAAUGUGUUUUUCUUGGUGAGACUUCCUGCUGCUUUUAAACUAUCAUUCUCCUCUAGAAGUGAACGCAGAGUACCUCAUCCUUUGAUUUGAACUUGCCUUUAUCAGUGAGGAUAGGAAGAAUUAGCAGUGUCAGUUUUUCUCAACUAGUGCAUGUAGCUAGCUGUUUUGAGUUCGAUGAAAAAACACAGAAUUACAAGACCUCUGGAAUUAAUAUGGCAUCAGUAACUUGAGCACAUUUUGUUAAAAUAAUGUAUAAACUUUUAUGUUGGAUUAUGUAGUAAGUUUAUAUGCUUAUUAUUUCUUCUACA